rnacentral:rRNA from 1 species
UACGUAGGUGGCAAGCGUUGUCCGGAAUUAUUGGGCGUAAAGCGCGCGCAGGCGGUCCUUUAAGUCUGAUGUGAAAGCCCACGGCUCAACCGUGGAGGGUCAUUGGAAACUGGGGGACUUGAGUGCAGAAGAGGAAAGCGGAAUUCCACGUGUAGCGGUGAAAUGCGUAGAGAUGUGGAGGAACACCAGUGGCGAAGGCGGCUUUCUGGUCUGUAACUGACGCUGAGGCGCGAAAGCGUGGGGAGCAGACAGG